CUUUUUGAGGAUUUGAUCCUGGUCCAGGAUGAACGUUGGCGGCGUGGAUAAGGCAUGCAAGUCGAACGGUGUCUAUGCGGCACGCAAUUUGGAAUCGAAAGAUUGUUGAUUGCGUGUCGCGUAUACAUAGUGGCGAACGAGUUAGUAACACCUUGGAAUCUACCCUGAAGACGGGCAUAACUAGCCGAAAGGUUGGAUAAUUCCCGAUAAUCCCGCAAGGGCAAAGUUGCAAGACACUUUAGGAGGAGCCUAGGUCCCAUCAGCUUGUAGGCGAGGUAAGAGCUCACCAAGGCUACGACGGGUAGGGGGGCUGAGAGGCUGAUCCCCAACGGCGGCACUGAGACACGGGCC
rnacentral:rRNA from 1 species